rnacentral:rRNA from 1 species
AGUGAACGCUGGCGGUAGGCCUAACACAUGCAAGUCGAACGGCAGCACAGUAAGAGCUUGCUCUUACGGGUGGCGAGUGGCGGACGGGUGAGGAAUACAUCGGAAUCUACUUUUUCGUGGGGGAUAACGUAGGGAAACUUACGCUAAUACCGCAUACGACCUACGGGUGAAAGCAGGGGAUCUUCGGACCUUGCGCGAUUGAAUGAGCCGAUGUCGGAUUAGCUAGUUGGCGGGGUAAAGGCCAACCAAGGCGACGAUCCGUAGCUGGUCUGAUAGGAUGAUCAGCCACACUGGAACUGAGACACGGUCCAGACUCCUACGGGAGGCAGCAGUGGGGAAUAUUGGACAAUGGGCGCAAGCCUGGUCCAGCCAUACCGCGUGGGUGAAGAAGGCCUUCGGGUUGUAAAGCCCUUUUGUUGGGAAAGAAAAGCAGCAGGUUAAUACCCCGCUGUUCUGACGGUACCCAAAGAAUAAGCACCGGCUAACUUCGUG